AUUGAACGCUGGCGGCAGGCCUAACACAUGCAAGUCGAGCGGAGCGAAGGACGGGUGAGUAAUGCCUAGGAAUCGGCAUGGGAGUGGGGGAUAAAGUACGGAAGAGGGAGCUAAUAACGCAUACUACCAGAUGAGCAUAGGUCGGAUUAGCUUGUUGGUGGUGGAAAGGCCUACCAAGGCGACGAUCAGGAACUGGUAUGAGCGGAUGAGCAGUCAAAUUGGAACUGAGACACGGUCCAGACUCCUACGGGAGGCAGCAGUGGGGAAUAUUGGACAAUGGGCGAAAGCCUGAUCCAGCCAUGCCGCGUGUGUGAAGAAGGUCUUCGGAUUGUAAAGCACUGUAAGUUGUGAGGCGUUACCAACAGAAUAAGCACCGGCUAACUUCGUGCCAGCAGCCGCGGUAAUUC
rnacentral:rRNA from 1 species